rnacentral:rRNA from 1 species
AACGAACGCUGGCGGCAGGCCUAACACAUGCAAGUCGAGCGAGGACUUCGGUCCUAGCGGCGGACGGGUGCGUAACGCGUGGGAACGUGCCCUUAGCUUCGGAAUAACUCUGGGAAACUGGGAGUAAUACCGGAUGAGGUCUUUGGGGGAAAGAUUUAUCGGCGAUGGAUCGGCCCGCGUUGGAUUAGGUAGUUGGUAGGGUAAUGGCCUACCAAGCCGACGAUCCAUAGCUGGUUUGAGAGGAUGAUCAGCCACACUGGGACUGAGACACGGCCCAGACUCCUACGGGAGGCAGCAGUGGGGAAUCUUAGACAAUGGGGGAAAGCCUGAUCUAGCCAUGCCGCGUGAGCGAUGAAGGCCUUAGGGUUCUAAAGCUCUUUUAGCUGGGAAGAUAAUGACGGUACCAGCAGAAGAAGCCCCGGCUAACUCCGUG